rnacentral:rRNA from 1 species
CCUACGGGAUGCAGCAGUGAGGAAUAUUGGUCAAUGGGCGCAAGCCUGAUCCAGCCAAGUCGCGUGAGGGAUGACUGCCCUACGGGUUUUAAACUUCUUUUAUAAAGGAAUAAAUUAAGGCACGUGUGCCUUUUUGUAUGUCCUUUAUGAAUAAGUAUCGGCUAACUCCGCGCCAGCAGCCGCGGUAAUACGGAGGUUCAGAGAGUUAUCCGUAUAUAUUGGGUUUAAAAGGAGCGUAGAUGGGUUGUUAAGUUCGUUGUGAAAGUGCGCGGCCCAACCGGAAAAUUGCAAUUGAUACUGGCAGACUUGAGUACAGUUGAGGGAGGCGGAAUUCGUGGUGUAGCGGUGAAAUGCGUAGAUAUCACGAAGAACUCCGAUUGCGAAGGCAGCUUACUAAACUGCAACUGACAUUGAGGCUCGAAAGUGUGGGUAUCAAACAGGAUUAGAUACCCGAGUAGUC